rnacentral:pre_miRNA from 1 species
CAGUCAGUGGAUGAUUGUUAUGAUGGCGAUGUUAUUUUAUCAGCAGUUGUACCACUGAUUGGG